UUUCCUCUUUCCGUUACUUUUCUUUCGUGCCGGAGACAGGAUAACUGAUUCAGUCUUCUCCCUUUGUGGCCUUGUCUGCUGCAGUUUUCCAUGGUACUUCGUUCUUCCCCUCUUUCGUGGUCCCCUGGCGCAAUUGUUCCAUUUCACAAACCAUUCCCUUCAUUCUUCAUUUCCUUCAAUUCGUAUUCUAUUACCGACGGUGGAGAUGGUCGGCCGGGUAGAGGAGUUUCGCUGCUAUUCUCGAUAGUGAGAUAACAAAUCAUCUCUUGAUUUUGUUGAUGUUCUUUCCUUCGAAUGCUAGAAUAAAUAGAGGUGCAGAUUAACCAAAGAGAAGCGAAAGGUCAGGAUCCCUGCGAUCAUUGACGGAAGAUAGGGCGUCUAUGCUGGGCUUCAUGGGAAACCUACUGGGACGUGCUGUUAUAAAUCUGCUCUUGCUCGGCCUUUUGAUGAGGCAUCUUCCUUCCUUGACAAGAUCGAAUCCCAGCUCAGCAAUCCUUGCAGUGGUGCUUCCAUUCUAAGCCUUUCCAGUCGGUUCUUCCCUUUUCUUGCUCACCCCCUCUUUCUUCUUAUGGAGAAAUGUCAUGUAGAUAUUUGUUACGGAUCCAUGCUCGAGAGAAAAAGGGUUGGAUACUCUGUUCGCACCACACUCCAAACAAAAUAUGGUGGUAAGAAAUCUUAUGCAAGUAGCAGUGGCACACGUGCAGAAUGAAACUUUGCCAUUUGAAACAAACAGACUUUCUGAAUACUGAAAAGUAAUGUAGGGAGAAUAAUCAGCUGGCCAAGAAUGGUGACACUAAAUCAGCUCAAAGCAUUAUGCUAACACAGCUGAAAAAUUUGAUAGAAGCAAAUCCUCUAUUUCGUGAUUAGCUUCUCCUCCCUACUCUUAAAUCAUUGAGAUUGAGGACGUUAAUCAACCAAAGGUAGCAAUGCUUUGGUUGUUAGAUUAACAAGGAAAUGAGAGCUUUUGAUUAUUACUCUCUACUGCAUCACAACGAGAAUAAGUAUUUUUAUUGACAUAUAUAGUUGUAGUAUUUUAGCAUUUUGCUUAAGGUUUACUCCUAUUAUGAUGAUUCAAUCAUUGCCUCUAUUUUUUAGUUCUUGUAUUCUUUUAUAUAUAUUGUUUUUGGUAUUUUGGUUUGUUGUGACAUUCAAUUUCUUUUCUCAAUCCCUGUUUUCCCAUUAUCAAUGAUUGCAAUUUGAACUGGCAGCAUCAGCUUUGCAAAAAAAGGCCAAACCCAGAUUUUAAGACUUUAUUUACAUAUCAUACAUGUUCACCUCCUAAUGGUCCUCUUCCACCUACACCUGUCAAUCUUCCAGUUGAUGCAGUUGCAAAGCCUGCUGUUUAUUCAUCACUUGGUGCUCAUGGUGUGUGAUCUUAUGAAACUUGAACAUUUUUAUGCAUUUCUAUGUGAGUAAUAAUAAUCAGCAGAAUUCAGAUUAAUAUUUGGUCCUUAUCUAUUUGCUGUAGUCCUUGCCACCUUUGUAGCUUCUUCUAAUUUAUUUGCUGUAGUCCUUUCCGCCUGCUGUAGCUUCUUCUAAUUCUAUAGCUGGUUGGAUGGUCAAUGCUUUUGCUUAAUCAUCUGUCCAAGCAGCAGUUGUCACUGCAUCACCCUUGCCUGUUGCGCAGAAUCAAGGUUAAUAUUGAUAUUAGAAGUAUUAUAACAGGGGAUAGUGACAAUUUGACCCCCAAUUUACUCAUUUCUAUAUGAAGAGGUGUGGGCAGAAUCGUGUAUUUGCUUGAUGUCACUAUUGUACUUGUAUUUUUUUUUUUUUUAAUUUUUUGUUUUCCUGUUGGCACUUCACAUGUCGUGAUUCAUAUUUUUCAAUCCAUUGUUAUGGCAUUUUGGCAUGCUAAUGUCUUCAUAUUCAUAAUUUAUGGAAUGCCUCUGUAAGCAAUUUAUUUUUUAUAUGUUCUUUUUAUUAAGCAUAUUCCAUUAACUUAAUAUGUUCUUUACUGCCUUCUUUUCCUUUUAGCUUUCUCAUCAGAAUAAUAUUAUCAGAAUAGAAGAGAUAACAGAGAGGAAGGGACAGAAUGGUAUUAUUUUUCUUAUAUUUAGAAGACCUCUUUACCUGUGAUGAUUAUGAGUUUCAUACACGAUUAGAUUGAGAUUGACGUCAUCUUAUAGAUUGAUGCUACUCUAUUUAAUUUAUAUGCCCAUUGGAUAGUGGUAUGGGUUUAUUACAUCUAAUUAGGGGGGAUUGAGAAGCCAUGGGAUUGUGUUUUGCAUGGGGAUUGUUGAAAUUUGUUUUGCUUCUUUUGUAUUCGUAGUCUUGGUUGGCUAUUGUGAGUGAAAAUGACAAACAUUGGCUAUUGGUUUGAUAAUUAGUUCUCAAUGUUUCUGGAUAAUUAAUAAUUGGAUAUUUUCUCCAUCGGUUAAGACAAGUUUGAAAAAAAAAAAAAAAAAAAGGCUUUUGCUAUGCAUGUUGAAGCGGCGAGAGUUUUAUGAGUCAAGGUGUUCUGGGAGGGUUUCUUACUUGGUUAGUGUAAGAAGUGGAGGCUUUGUCUAGCUUGUGCAACCAAAAGGUUUCUGAUUAUUGACGUUAAGGCUAGCAUCUGGUGACCGGUAUAACUUGAAAAAAAUUGUGUCGCUGUUGUGACUCAAUCAGUGCAUAUCAUUUUUGUUUUUUGUUUCAAUUUAUUUUGGUCAUUGCUUAAUUUGUGUUGCUGUUGUAAGUUGGUACUCCUUUUCCCCUUCUUUUCUUUUGCAAAUAAUUCUUUGGCCCUUAAGUAUUAAUGUUUACAGUUUUGUCUGAAUGUAUAUAGCUGUUGUAUUAUUUCCUUUUGGUUUUGCAGAGGUGAUUGAGGGAAGUAUAUUUCUUCAAAUUACAGUAUGGGUCUCAUCUCCCCCCCCCCAAAAAAAAAGAAAAAAGCAACUCGCCUUAUCUUUUUGAGGCAUUUGGGAAGUUCAAGUGUCUACCUUUUGAGUUAUUUAAAAACUUUGUCUACCUAGCAUAGCAGCAGACUAAAUAAAAUGAAACAAAUCGUUGAAAUAAGGUGCAUAAUAUCAAUUGAAUCUCAGUGGAGUGGGGUUGGGGAAUGUAUUCAGGAAUAGUUGGUUAAACCGAAGUAGAAGGAAAAGACUGAGAAGAAAUGGAGGAUCAUUAAUAGAGGGCUUUUAUUUCAGUAAAUAAUGUUCACCUUUUCUCUUAAUUUCUUGGGCAAAUUUUCUCAUUUUUUUGGGGCAUAGAAUUCUGUUUAGGAUAGGCAAUGUAUCUUGGGUUUAAAUGCCAUUCUAUCGUUUGAAACAUAGAUUUUGCUAGGGGGUGAUAGAAGUGUUAUAGAACUACUUGAAAGUGAAUCGGGAGCAAGUCCCAGAAAAUCAUUGUUGGAGGGAUCAGCUAAAAAUCCCAAUGCACAACAAAGAACGUUCUACAACUUUUUUUGGCAUCCUUCUGCUAUUGGAAAAGAUCUUCUCUUAAUAGAAAAAUUUGGUCUCGUAUAUGCAAGUCACUGAAGUCUUUUUCCAUGGUUGGGACAUUGUAAAUUUGUAAUUCUAAAGGGACACUUAUAUUUCCUGGUAAUAGUGCAGAUGAUCCUGAAGACUUUGUUUAUUCUUAGAAUUUUUGUUGGAACUCUUGGGGGUUUAUGGUGAUGGAGAAGUCAAGUGGCACCAUGGGCAUGUUUCUCAUGCAAAAUGAGAAUUAUAGACUUGUUUUACUGUACUGUAUCACAUAAUUAUUUGUUAUAUCUUUUCAUAUAUUUCAAAUUUAUACUUUAUGUUUGUUUU